GUGCUAAGCUUAGUGCUCUCUCUCCCACCACCAGUGGCAGAGCCACUGUGUGGGGAGAAACACCUUUUUAUCUUGGAGAGGGGCAGCCUUGUUUCUGAGGACAGAUGGGAGCAAAACGGGACAGGUAGGAAGUUUCGUGGUUUCUCGUGUCGCUUCUCCAAAAUAGCCACACUGCUGCCUCCCACUUCCUGCCUGACUCGGCUGGGGUAGAUUUUCUCCUUUAGAGGAUUUGUGUUCUGUGUAUUCCCAGGGAGGCUCGAAGGGAUCUGUUGCCAAAAACAUGCUUGACACUGAAGCCCUGGAGCUUGGCACUGAGGGCCCCAGCUCAGGUUUGGACCACUGGGUUUGCAUCCGGGCUCUGUCUCAUACUGGCUGCGUGACCUUGGGCAAAUGACUUCACUUCUCUGUGCCUCAUCAGUAGGAUGGAGAUAACAACUCUAGCUAUAUCCAGCAGUUACUCUGCAGAUUAAAUGAAUAUGUGUAAAGGGCACAGCCCAGUGUGGGCACAUAGCAACUCUUAAUGAAUCUCUUAAUAAAAAACAGCAAUGUUGUUGUUGAUCUCCAUCCCCUACCUGGAAAACUGUACCAGCCUCCCAGCCACCUUCCCUUUCCCCUGGCUUGCCUGCUCCAGCACAUCCCAGCAUGAUCCGAGAGUGAUAGAAACGUGAAACACAAAUCUGACCCUGCUAUCUGCUGCUUAAAAUCCACCCAUAGCUUCCAGCGUCUAUGGCAGGAAUGAGCAUUCUUUUGCUCUGAAUGGCCAGAUAGUAUUUGAAGCUUUGCCGGGCAUAUAGUCUCUCUUGACUUUGUCAUUGCAGCCUGGAAGCAACCACAGAUAAUAUGUAAAAAAUGGGCGUGGUUGUGUUCCAGUAAAAUUUUAUGUACGAAAACAGGCAGCCGGCUGGAUUUGCCAACCCUUGACCUACAGGAUGAAUCCAGACCCUUAGCUCAGCAUUCCCAGUUCAGCCUGUUCCCGUUAUCUCCAUCCUUCUUCCUCCCCCACCCCUGCUCUUGUGCAGAACAUGUCACACUUUAAUCCUUUGCGUGUGCUGCUCCCUCUUUCUGAGUUUUCCUUCCCUGCCCCCUGAGUGCCCCUUCCCCAUGGCAUUAGGACCUUUACUCUGGGAUUCUGUGGUACCCUGUCUUUAUUUCUACCCUGGUCAUAUAUGCAAGUUCCAUCUGUCUCUCCAUGAGAGGGGCUCCCCUCUAGGCAGGGAUUCGGCCUUCCUCUUCUGUACACCCAGCAGGGUGCUGCUGUAUAGGUUUCUGCAGGUGCUCAGUAAGCAUUUGUUAUUGAACCCAAGGAUCUGCAAGAUGGAUGGUUGGCCUCAGGGAGCUCACAGUCAGCUUAGAAAGCUAGGAUAUGAGCCAGUCAAAAGCCAGCCAGCAAUCCAGGCAGGAAAUGAUGAUGGUCUGUGUGUUUGGCCCUAACUGAUGUCAAGUGGAGAUUCUGAGCUUGAUAGAGGAAGGGCCUCGGGUGGUCCUCGAGGUGCCGCAGGUGGAAGAAGAACAGGCCAAGGCAAAUGCCUCCGGUACCCAGCACUGCCUGGUGCACAGUAGUGGUUGAUCAGUAAUUGUUGAACCAAUCAGGGUUUCUGUUUGCUUGAAGGAAAGGGUAGGAGUGGAGGGUGAGUGACUGGGUGAAUGGGUGCUAUGAGGACAAAGGAGAGUGGAGUUUAGAGGUAGCACUAGUGUCGCAAGCCUGAAGGUUUACCAGAGACAGAGGGGUGAAAAGAUGAGUGGGGCACUAAGCAUAUUGAAUGUGAGAGCUGCUGGAAAUGCAGGAUUGGGGCGUGCUGGGUGGGGCAGGUGAUGUGUGCAGCUGUGGAAGCUGCUACCAAGUCAAGCAUUUUCAGAUGGACAUGCUUAGGCAGGAAGGAACAAGGCUUGGCUCCUGGCCUGGGGAGAGUUAACCUCCUGGCCCGGCAUUGCAUAACCGCAGAGUCUGCUGAGCGCAAGGAGACUCUUCUGUGUGGCAGCCAGAGUGGCAAGCCUGGUGGCUCCGGGCUCUGGCACCAUCCCGCAGCGGAACAAACAGCCCUCCCUUCCCAGAUAAUGGCCCUCAUUGAGCAUUGUGUCCAUGGCCAGCACCCAGCACAGGGCAGCUCAGCCUGGGAGUCAGCCUCUCC
rnacentral:lncRNA from 1 species